CUGGCGGAUGCUUUACACAUGCAAGUCGAACGGCAGCACGGGAGCUUGCUCCUGGUGGCGAGUGGCGAACGGGUGAGUAAUGCGUCGGAACGUACCGAGUAAUGGGGGAUAACGCACCGAAAGGUGUGCUAAUACCGCAUACGCCCCGAGGGGGAAAGCAGGGGAUCGUAAGACCUUGCGUUAUUCGAGCGGCCGACGUCUGAUUAGCUAGUUGGUGGGGUAAAGGCCUACCAAGGCGACGAUCAGUAGCGGGUCUGAGAGGAUGAUCCGCCACACUGGGACUGAGACACGGCCCAGACUCCUACGGGAGGCAGCAGUGGGGAAUUUUGGACAAUGGGGGAAACCCUGAUCCAGCCAUUCCGCGUGAGUGAAGAAGGCCUUCGGGUUGUAAAGCUCUUUCAGCUGGAACGAAACGGUACGCUCUAACAUAGCGUGCUAAUGACGGUACCAGCAGAAGAAGCACCGGCUAACUACGUGCCAGCAGCCGCGGUAAUACGUAGGGUGCGAGCGUUAAUCGGAAUUACUGGGCGUAAAGCGUGCGCAGGCGGAUUGUUAAGCAAGAUGUGAAAUCCCCGGGCUUAACCUGGGAAUGGCAUUUUGAACUGGCAGUCUAGAGUGUGUCA
rnacentral:rRNA from 1 species